rnacentral:rRNA from 1 species
UGUCUCAGUUCGGAUUGGAGGCUGAAACCCGCCUCCAUGAAGUUGGAUUCGCUAGUAAUCGCGCAUCAGCCAUGGCGCGGUGAAUACGUUCCCGGGCCUUGUACACACCGCCCGUCAAGCCAUGGGAGCCGGGGGUGCCUGAAGUUCGUGACCGCAAGGAGCGACCUAGGGCAAAACUGGUGACUGGGGCUAAGUCGUAACAAGGUAGC